AUAUUCUACUGAACUUAUAAAUUAAGGUUGUUUUAUCUUUAAGACCUCGCCAAUUCCAUCUAGAACUGGGAUUUCUAGAGAUAGCAUUGAAGAGGAGGCUAGGAGACUGUCACUAACAGCCAUUCACAGCGCCUUCUCAGCGGCGGUAUCGGUAUCUGAGGGGGGAUGCAGGGCAAGUUAUAAGGGGAAGCGUAACAUCUGGAGAGGCCUCAUGUCCUGCUUCCGUUCCUGUUUUAGUUGUGUGCGCUAGAGAUUAAUUCAUAGUAACACGAUUUUUUCUCAAGAACAACUUGGCCUUUGUGGUUAUCAUUUUUUCUCAAAAACAACUUGGCCUUUGUGGUUGUUUUUUUUUCU